rnacentral:rRNA from 1 species
AACGAACGCUGGCGGCAUGCCUAACACAUGCAAGUCGAACGAGACCUUCGGGUCUAGUGGCGCACGGGUGCGUAACGCGUGGGAAUCUACCCUUGGGUUCGGAAUAACAGUUAGAAAUGACUGCUAAUACCGGAUGAUGACGUAAGUCCAAAGAUUUAUCGCCCAAGGAUGAGCCCGCAUAAGAUUAGCUUGUUGGUGGGGUAAUGGCCUACCAAGGCGACGAUCUUUAGCUGGUCUGAGAGGAUGAUCAGCCACACUGGGACUGAGACACGGCCCAGACUCCUACGGGAGGCAGCAGUGGGGAAUAUUGGACGAUGGGCGAAAGCCUGAUCCAGCAAUGCCGCGUGAGUGAUGAAGGCCUUAGGGUUGUAAAGCUCUUUUACCAGGGAAGAUAAUGACAGUACCUGGAGAAUAAGCUCCGGCUAACUCCGUGCCAGCCGCCGCCGUAA